UGCCAGCCGCCGCGGUAAUACGGAGGGGGUUAGCGUUGUUCGGAAUUACUGGGCGUAAAGCGUACGUAGGCGGAUUAAUAAGUUAGGCGUGAAAGCCCCGGGCUCAACCCGGGAACUGCGCUUAAGACUGGAAGACUAGAAAACGGAAGAGGGUAGUGGAAUUCCCAGUGUAGAGGUGAAAUUCGUAGAUAUUGGGAAGAACACCAGUGGCGAAAGCGGCUACCUGGUCCGAUUUUGACGCUGAGGCGCGAAAGCGUGGGGAGCAAACAGGAUUAGAUA
rnacentral:rRNA from 1 species